GAUCCUGGCUCAGGACGAACGCUGGCGGCGCGCCUAACACAUGCAAGUCGAACGAGCGGAGAGAGAGCUUGCUUUCUCGAGCGAGUGGCGAACGGGUGAGUAACGCGUGAGGAACCUGCCUCAAAGAGGGGGACAACAGUUGGAAACGACUGCUAAUACCGCAUAAGCCCACAGCUCGGCAUCGAGCAGAGGGAAAAGGAGCAAUCCGCUUUGAGAUGGCCUCGCGUCCGAUUAG
rnacentral:rRNA from 1 species